rnacentral:rRNA from 1 species
AUUGAACGCUGGCGGCAGGCCUAACACAUGCAAGUCGAACGAGUGGCGCACGUGAGAGUAAUGUCUGGGAAACUGCCUGAGGGAGGGGGAUAACUACUGGAAACGAUAUAUAAUACCGCAUACCCUCAGAUGUGCCCAGAUGGGAUUAGCUAGUUGGUGGGGUAACGGCUCACCAAGGCGACGAUCCCUAGCUGGUCUGAGAGGAUGAUCAGCCACACUGGAACUGAGACACGGCCCAGACUCCUACGGGAGGCAGCAUUGGGGAAUAUUGCACAAUGGGCGCAAGCCUGAUGCAGCCAUGCCGCGUGUAUGAAGAAGGCCUUAGGGUUGUAAAGUACUUUCAGUGGGGAGGCGUUACCGGCAGAAGAAGCACCGGCUAACUCCGUGCCAGCAGCCGCGGUAAUUC